AUUGAACGCUGGCGGCAGGCCUAACACAUGCAAGUCGAGCGGCAGCGGGAAAGAAGCUUGCUACUUUUGCCGGCGAGCGGCGGACGGGUGAGUAAUGCCUGGGAAAUUGCCCAGUCGAGGGGGAUAACAGUUGGAAACGACUGCUAAUACCGCAUACGCCCUACGGGGGAAAGCAGGGGACCUUCGGGCCUUGCGCGAUUGGAUAUGCCCAGGUGGGAUUAGCUAGUUGGUGAGGUAAUGGCUCACCAAGGCGACGAUCCCUAGCUGGUCUGGGAGGAUGAUCAGCCAAACUGGAACUGAGACACGGUCCAGACUCCUACGGGAGGCAGCAGUGGGGAAUAUUGCACAAUGGGGGAAACCCUGAUGCAGCCAUGCCGCGUGUGUGAAGAAGGCCUUCGGGUUGUAAAGCACUUUCAGCGAGGAGGAAAGGUUGAUGCCUAAUACGUAUCAACUGUGACGUUACUCGCAGAAGGAGCACCGGCUAACUCCGUGCCGGCCGCCGCUGUAACAC
rnacentral:rRNA from 1 species